AAACACUGCACACACUUUAUCUCUCAUUAAUUAAAUUUGAAAUUCUUAUGUUACAAAAUUAUAUGCUUUAACUCUUUAAACGAUGGUAAGGGGUGGAAACAGGCGUUGUAACUGAAAUAGCAAUAUAAACAUAAAGUGAUAUUUCAACGCCAAGAUAAUAUAUUACUGAUAGUUAAAAUUGAUCUAUAUUGUCACGAUUGUGUUUUUUAUACUUGUAUAUAAUUUUUUAAAUGUGUUUAAGGAUUUAAUAGAAAAGAUGAAAUUUCCACUGACGGUUGCAGAGAGGGAUGAGCUCUGUAGUGCUUUUGAUGUGCAUUUAAAUGGCUGGUUCAAUUACAUCCAAUUUUUGAAGGCAGUAAACAGAGCAUUCACAAAAGCCCCCAGACAGUCAUUGUUGUUUUUAACAUUCGUACCAAACAUUUACAUAGAAAAGCAGGCCCAACAUCUUUGGCAAUUACAAUAUAUGAUUUUAUCUAUGAAUUAAAAGAAAUCCUUCUAAAGAAAUUUAAAACUUUGCGGGGAGCUUUCAAGUUUUUUGACCUCAACCAUAAUGGCUUUAUAGAAGAAACAGAAAUGAAAAAAUCACUGACUUUGUUGGGAUAUAACUUGUCUAAUCAGGAUUUUACUGACAUAUUUGAAGUAUUUGAUCAAAGUCAAAGAAAAGGGCUUUCUUUCGAAAAUUUCAAAAAUACUUUACUAAAUGUCCUAUAAUUAUUAUUGGUUCUUUUUUUACACUUUAGAUAUAUCUUAUAGUCUGCUUUAAUUUUUCGUGAUGUUAUUAAUUUUUAUACUUAUUUUGUAUUAUAAUUAUUUUGCAUUGUAAAAUAACAGAAUUGUAAAUCAUCAAAAAGGCCUUCAACAGAGAACCGUUUAGAAUUUCAUCCAAAUAUGACAGCGAGAAGCAGUGGCGGAUUAAGGGGGUGCUGAAAAUGCUGCAGCUAGGGGCCCCCGAUUUUUAGGGGCCCCAUAUGUACCGCCUAAUUGUUGGUUUUCACUAUAAAAACUAAAGUUUCAAUGUUUGCAUCACAAGCUUCAAUUUUUUUUCAAAAUUUCUUAAACUUGCACACACUUACAUAUAAAUACCACCGGUCAAUCUUCACCUCCUACCCAGACAUCUAUGACAUUAAGAUACGUCAGUCCAUCCUUCUUCCUUCCUUUCAUCAUCGCUAUAGAUUUUAGAACCAUAAGAGCGACACACCUUUUUUUUUAUAUCUAACAUAUAAUGUUCAAUUCUUUUUUUUUUCAUGAGCAUAUACAUACAUGCAAUUUUAUACAUACAAAAUAUUUUUGUGUUAUUGCAUGUUUGACUAGGGAAAUUGGUGCGCAUGAUUGAUGGUGCGGCCGUAUAUUGAACGAGUGAAUGUGUGACGCGGUACGAAAGAUAGUGACGUUUUAGGGUAGAGAGUUGGUUGCUAUGAGUUUAUAUGUGAGUGAGUCUAAUCUUGAUCGUCGGUAUGAAUGGACGUGUACUGGUCCGUACGCCUCAAGUUGGGAGAUAGAUGUAUAUGUAUGAAUAACGUAUUAGACUAGGAAUAUUGAGUUUGCCUUAUCUCUGAGCGCCGUAUGUUGGACUGAACGUGAGAUAGCCUUAUUGGUUCCCAAGGUCAGAACUUCUCUCCCUGGUAUUGGAGAUGAACCAAAUGGUAGUUGGCCGAAUCAAGUGACUCAAACCCUUUCACUGCACAACCUAAGCGUAACAGUUAUCAUGUUUUAUAAACAGUGCUACUUAUAUUUACAUUAUGAUUUAUACCUUACUUUUACUAACAUAUCUUUGGCAACUAGUGAGAUUAGGUUUUGAAAACAUUGGUUGAUUGAUUCCUAGUAAGUAACAAAACGUCUAAACUAAAAUUUCAGCAUAAAAUUGGGUAUAUAAUGACUUGAUAAAUAAUUAUAUUUCUUGUUAUGAAAGGACAAUCGUUUAUUGAGGGAUCUGCAGGUGGUGGUUCGUUAUGAUUAAUCCACGACAAAUAUACAAACAUACAGAAUUGAACAUUAUAUGUAUAUAUAUAUAUAUAUAUAUAUAUAUAUAUAUAUAUAUAUAUAUAUAUAUAUAUAUAUGUGCGUGCGUGUAAUCGUGUGUAUACACGCGUGAGUGUGUGUAAGCGUGUGUGCGACAGUCCGGAAAAGUUUUAAUAAUUACAGUGUAUAAUUUUCGUUUCAAGUAUCACACCUCAAGUGCUUUUUACUUGCAUCGCAUAUAUUUAUUAUAAUUUGAUGGUUAGGGUUUAUUUAUAUAACGACUAAAAUGUUUUGUAUAGUUGUCAAUGUUUUUACUCUUUUGCAUAACAUAAAUUAAAUAUUAAAUAAACGCACAUUGCUAAAAGAUAUUAGACGGAUCAAUGUCAAAUAAUACUUUCGCUUAGAUUACUAGAAAAAUUGGAUACAUUUUAAUAACAGUGUCAAAAAAAACUAAUUAAUUAAAAUAUUGUACAAUUUUGCCAUAAGAGGUAAUUUAAAUAGAAAUUAAACGCAAGCUAAUUAAAAAAAUGUGAAUGUAAGAGGACAUUAUUGUUAGAAUAUUAUAAUUCAUGGAUUGAUAAAAUGCACUGUGGUAGGUAAAACACGGAUAUUUUAAAUACUGCCUUUUGUUUAUUUUAAGGAUAAGUUGGGGUAUUAUAGUCGUUUUAUAAGUUGAAUCGGGCGGUUCCGCCGGCGCCGCGGCCGAUGAUUUUAGAUUUGUUUAUUUUUCGUAUGUUUAUGCGUAUAUCCAAGCUUCAGUGGCUUAGAUAAUACUGAGAGAGCCGCCUAAUACAAAGGCUAACGUGUAUAAUAUCUUUUGCUUAAUCCCCAUCUGUUGACUUUUUGUUUUGCCUAUCUUGGAAUACUAGCGUAUUUUCAUUAGGAUUUGUUUACUUAUUGUUUUUCGUUUCAUUUCACGCACACACACAAACACACACACACACACAUAUAUAUAUAUAUAUAUAUAUAUAUAUAUAUAUAAUAUAAGCGGGCUGUGUCUGUCCUUCCUUCCGUCCGUCAUCGCUAUAGAUUUUGGGACUAUAAAAGUAAACUACGCACCAUGCUGUGCUUUUCAGUGCACCGCAGUGUCUUACUAUAAUUUACAGAGUAGGGUUUGUUUAUAUAACGGCAUAGAGCUAUUUUAUAAUUUCCACUGUUUGUACAAUUUUGCAUAACGUAAAGAGAAUAUUAAAUACACGGACAUUGCUAAAACUUAUUAAAAGGAUCAAUGUCAAAUAUCGUUUUCGUUAAUAUUCCCAGAAAAAAUGGAUACAUUUUCAUAAAAGUAGGUCGAAAAAACUAAUUAAUUCAACUAUUUUUUUGGUAAUUUUUUUGCAAGGGAGGUAGUUUGAAAAUAUAUUUAACUCAUCAAUAAUUUAAGUUAAUUUUUUUUUAUUACUACCGCAUUGAUUAUUAUAUGUUUAGGUUCAUAAGUAAAAUAGAAAAAUGUUAAGAUUAUUUAUAUUAUUUUCUAAUUAGUCUAUGAUCUCUCAAAAUCACUAUUGUUUGUUUU